rnacentral:rRNA from 1 species
AUACGUAGGGUGCGAGCGUUGUCCGGAAUUACUGGGCGUAAAGAGCUCGUAGGUGGUUUGUCGCGUCGUCUGUGAAAUUCCGGGGCUUAACUCCGGGCGUGCAGGCGAUACGGGCAUAACUUGAGUACUGUAGGGGAGACUGGAAUUCCUGGUGUAGCGGUGAAAUGCGCAGAUAUCAGGAGGAACACCGGUGGCGAAGGCGGGUUUCUGGGCAGUAACUGACGUUGAGGAGCGAAAGCAUGGGUAGCGAACAGGAUUAGAUCCCCUGGUAGUCCAUGCCGUAAACGGUGGGCGCUAGGUGUAGGGGUCUUCCACGACUUCUGUGCCGUAGCUAACGCAUUAAGCGCCCCGCCUGGGGAGUACGGCCGCAAGGCUAAAACUCAAAGGAAUUGACGGGG